GAUGAACGCUGGCGGCGCGCCUAACACAUGCAAGUCGAACGAGUAAGACGCCUUCGGGCGUGCAUAGAGUGGCGAACGGGUGAGUAACACGUGACCAACCUGCCCCCUCCUCCGGGACAACCUCGGGAAACCGAGGCUAAUACCGGAUACUCCGGGCCCCCCGCAUGGGGAGCCCGGGAAAGCCCUGGCGGGAGGGGAUGGGGUCGCGGCCCAUCAGGUAGACGGCGGGGUAACGGCCCACCGUGCCUGCAACGGGUAGCCGGGCUGAGAGGCCGAUCGGCCACAUUGGGACUGAGACACGGCCCAGACUCCUACGGGAGGCAGCAGUGGGGAAUUUUGCGCAAUGGGGGCAACCCUGACGCAGCGACGCCGCGUGCGGGACGAAGUCAUUCGUGACGUAAACCGCUUUCAGCGAGGAAGAACCAUGACGGUACUCGCAGAAGAAGCCC
rnacentral:rRNA from 1 species